rnacentral:rRNA from 1 species
CAGAACCUGGUUGAUCCUGCCAGUAGUCAUAUGCUUGUCUUAAAGAUUAAGCCAUGCAUGUCUAAGUAUAAAUAGUAUACAGUGAAACUGCGAAUGGCUCAUUAAAACAGUUAUAGUUUAUUUGAUAAUUGAAUUAUACAUGGAUAACCGUGGUAAUUCUAGAGCUAAUACAUGCAGCAAAACCUGAUUUAAGGG